UCCAGGGUAGCCUAGUGGACAUGACAUCUGCCCGGUAAGCGGAACAUUGUGGGUUCGAUUCCCACUAUUUAUUUAUUUGGAU
rnacentral:tRNA from 1 species